rnacentral:rRNA from 12 species
GUCAGCUCGUGUCGUGAGAUGUUGGGUUAAGUCCCGUAACGAGCGCAACCCUUGUCCUUAGUUACCAGCACGUUAUGGUGGGCACUCUAAGGAGACUGCCGGUGACAAACCGGAGGAAGGUGGGGAUGACGUCAAGUCAUCAUGGCCCUUACGGCCAGGGCUACACACGUGCUACAAUGGUCGGUACAAAGGGUUGCCAAGCCGCGAGGUGGAGCUAAUCCCAUAAAACCGAUCGUAGUCCGGAUCGCAGUCUGCAACUCGACUGCGUGAAGUCGGAAUCGCUAGUAAUCGUGAAUCAGAAUGUCACGGU